rnacentral:rRNA from 1 species
AACGAACGCUGGCGGCGUGCCUAACACAUGCAAGUCGAACGCGAAAAUCCGCAAGGAUGAGUAGAGUGGCGCACGGGUGAGUAACACGUAAAUGAUCUGUCCAGGACACCGGGAUAACCGUUCGAAAGGAUGGCUAAUACCGGGUAAGCCCACGGUUUAGGAAUUGUGGGAAAAGGGUUGGGACUGUAACAGGCCAAUCGGUUUUGGAGGAGUUUGCGGCCCAUCAGCUAGUUGGCGGUGUAAAAGACCACCAAGGCUAUGACGGGUAGCUGGGCUGAGAGGAUGGUCAGCCACACUGGAACUGGGACACGGUCCAGACUCCUACGGGAGGCAGCAGCCGAGAAUCUUCCGCAAUGGGCGAAAGCCUGACGGAGCGACGCCGCGUGUAGGAUGAAGGCCUUCGGGUUGUAAACUACUGUCACUUGGGAAGAGAAUGAGUAUGUUCAACAAACAUAUUCAUUGACUGUACCAAGAGAGGAAGCCACGGCUAACUCUGUGCCAGCAGCCGCCGUAACAC